UACGGGCAAGUCGAGGUAUUCAGAGGCAAAAAUGGAAGUAAAACAGGAAAAAUAAUUGGAAACAUUACACACAACCUCCAAAAUUAGCAAAUCAUCUGAUUCUUUGAUUUUUUUUCUCUUUAUUAAGAGUUCACAACACUUCCUAAUUCAAAAUAAAAGCUGUCCUGAAAAUAAAUACAGGGUUCUGGCAGAAG